rnacentral:lncRNA from 1 species
AUGAUUUUCAUUUUAGGAUUAACCUGGAAAUUGUUCUUAUCAGUAAGUGAUCUCAUCAAUUGGAACUCCUUUUGGUUGGUUUUUGUUUUGUUUCAUUGUGCUAACACUAUCCCAGUCAUCUGGCCUAAAAAUGCCAAUCAUACUUAGUUUCUCUAUGUCACUUACACAAUAUCAUGUCAGGAUUUUUUUCCAUUGUAUUAUAUUAAAUCUUCCAUUUUCCCUGUCCUUCUACCUGAGUAUAGGCCUUGAAACUGUUCUUCAUGCCUGAACCAUUUGUCAGCAACCACCUGUCUCCUCUCUGCUCACUGUCCAUGGCAUUCAAAUUUCACCAUGUUACACUGUUUCCUGAGACCUCUACUUUGCAUGUAACAAUGUAUGAACUUUAAUUUUAGGCUUGUUCUGGAAGUUGUUGUUCUUAUCAAUAAGUGAUCAAUAAUAUCAGCACUACAAAACUCAAGAGACAAAAGAGUCAAAACUGAUGGCAGACUGGGAGAAUCUAUAAGAAGCUCUACAUUCCUAAAGCUAUAUAGAAUUGACUAAAGAUUACACUGUAGUGUAAUUGGAGAAUAGUGGCACCUUUUAAUGAGAAUUGAGCUUUAAGUGACUCUAUAAAUUAUAAGAUUACAGAGUCUACGUAUUUCUGAUUAACUAUAUUAAUAAAAGGAAGUACCACCCCAGGCACUAUUAAUGUAAUUCAAGUACAAACUGGCACAUGGAGGAAAAGGCUGUACAGGAACGAGUUCAGGAAGACAGAUAUGAAACAACAUUGACCAUGCUAGCAACAAUUUCAGCAGAGUAAAAAUUAUCACUGAUUCUUCAGUGAAAAGAGAUGUAAAAUUAUUAUCAGAAGUUUAUUUUUAAAAUAGACAUAUAAAUCAUAUGCUGUUUAUAUUUCCCUGUGAGCACAGUCAAUUUUAGAUGCUGCUUUUAUUGCCAGUAUGUAGUAUUGAGAUACCUGUUUUAAAGUAUCAUCAUCUCAACUAAAAAUUGCAAUCAAUACUCUGCUACCCAAAAUAUACACCAGGCAAACAGCAGAUAAUGCAAUCUUACCAAGGCUUAUUCCUAGUUCCUUAUGUAAAUUUCAGAUUAUGUGUUUAUAUACACUAACUUCAUUGAUACUUAAAAGUAUUGAGUAAAGUAGAAUUUUUCAUUUCAUUUAGAGAUGACACAAAGACUUCCAAAAUGUUAACUGGCUUGCUCAAGACCAGUAACCAUAUUCCUGACUCUCUCACAAUGCCUUAUGAAGAGACUGAAUUGGCCCCUCUAGAGGGAAAGCCAUCACGUGGGUGCCAGGCAUCAGGUCUCUGAGAACAGAAAUGGUGCCAAAAUAGGAAGAGCCUAGACCUUUCUCAAAUUUGCAUUAAAGAAACCAAGAUAAGUCAGUCCAACCAAAGAGUAGAAAUAAGGAGGGGGAGUGGGGCAGGGAGAAGACGAAACUAAGGCUCAGGAAACCAACCAAACAGGAGCAGGCUCAAUGUUCCCAGGCAAUUGCUGUAAGAAGAGAUCAAGUAUGAAUGGCUUUGGUGUCUUAAAGAUGUAGAGAUUUCUUUGGGGGAGAAUAUUAAAACAUGAAUAAGUUAUAAAAGUAAGUAAGAUUCAAUGUCUAAUCUGAAUUUACACUUUCUAUUUUUUCAUUCUCUCAUUCCAAUAUAGCUCAGGUUUAAUCUAUCUGUAGUUGUAGAAAGAAAGAGCUUAGCUCUGAAGACAUCCAAGUAAGGGUCCAUUGAGUAAUCAUCCAUCGUUACUCUUAAGAAAUCUGGCCUUCAAAUAUUGACAGAACCUACUUGUUUAAUUCCUAUCUUAGCUUAUUUCAGAGUCACAGUGU